GCCGCAUUCCAUGGAAAAAUAUACAUCAAUUUUUUGCAGUGUUCAAUAUAAAUACUCUUGAGUCUUUGAAAUGAUCCCUUUGGCAUUACAGCCAGAGUUACAGUAUUUGCAAAUACAUUUUCCAAUUGAUCAAGGUGUUUUAAUAUAACGUCAUAUACUUUUGGUAGAAUUGCAACAUCAUCACCUCUGUUUCGUGAAUACUCAAAGACCCUUUUCAAUCUGCAUCUGCUAAUACUAAGACUUUCCAAGUUUGGCACUAACUUCAUAGUUUCCGAAUUUAAAAGUACGACAUCCUCCCAAUUUUCACAUUUUUUGAUACACAAUUCUUUCAAAUUUUUAAAAUCAUCAAAAUCAUCAGGAUUUUGCAAUAGGUGUUCGAUGUGUUGGGAGUCAUACAAUAUCAAUGUUUCAGUUUUUUAUCAGUCGUACAACAAAAAUUUCCCUUUUAAUGUCAAUUCUUUUCUCCCCACAGAAUUAUGAAAAUUUAGUUCAUCAAAGAAAAAGACGGAUCUAUCAAAGACAAACUUGAUUUUAAAGAACAUGUACUGUUUUUUAUCACGAUCAGCAAAAGAUCGAAGAAAGUUAUUAGGAGCAUUUUUUGAUAAGAUUUUCACUUCUG
rnacentral:lncRNA from 1 species